rnacentral:rRNA from 1 species
UGCGUAGGCGGCUUCUUAAGACGGAUGUGAAAUCCCUGAGCUUAACUUAGGAAUUGCAUUCGAUACUGGGAAGCUAGAGUAUGGGAGAGGAUGGUAGAAUUCCAGGUGUAGCGGUGAAAUGCGUAGAGAUCUGGAGGAAUACCGAUGGCGAAGGCAGCCAUCUGGCCUAAUACUGACGCUGAGGUACGAAAGCAGUGGGAGCAAACA